rnacentral:rRNA from 1 species
UACAGAGGUCCCAAGCGUUGUUCGGAUUCACUGGGCGUAAAGGGUGCGUAGGUGGCCGGGUAAGUCUGACGUGAAAUCUCCGAGCCUAACUCGGAAACUGCAUCGGAUACUAUCCGGCUUGAGGGUUGGAGGGGGGACUGGAAUACUUGGUGUAGCAGUGAAAUGCGUAGAUAUCAAGUGGAACACCAGUGGCGAAGGCGGCGUCCUGGACCAACACUGACACUGAGGAGCGAAAGCCAGGGGAGCAAACGGG